GGAAGGAUCAUUGUCGGUUCCACUUUUUUUUGUGGGUUUGUUUUGUGCGGGUGUAAAUCUGCCUUUUGCGGUUCGGGUGCUUUCCCCCGAUACUUGGGCAGAGGGUUACCUCUCGAAAGGGAAGGGUUGCCCUCUGGGCCAAAAUGGUGUCUCAAUGCCUUGUGUCGUCGAAUGUCUAAUAGAGUCGCUUUGUGCGAUUAGUAUGCAUCACAACUUUCAGCAACGGAUCUCUUGGCUCUCGCAUCGAUGAAGAACGCAGCGAAUUGCGAUAUGUUAAUGUGAAACGCAGAACAGUGAAUCAUCGAGACUUUGAACGCACCUUGCGCCCUCUGGUCUUCCGGAGGGCAUGCCUGUUUGAGUGUCGCUAAACCACCUCUAGGCCGAAAGGUCUGAUUCGGAUGUGUGCCGUGGUAGGCUCCGUCUUAGAAGCAAAUCAGAACGUGGCCUGCUGCCGACCUAAAUGUGUUGGGGGACAUCCGAUCGUAAUUGCGCCUUCGUGUUGUUUCCCAAUCGGCGUGGCAGUCGGGCUCUCCCUUUCUUUGUCGCCUUUUUGCGGCUUUGUUUGGGAUUAAUGCGAACCGUGGCCUCAGAUCAGGCAGGACUACCCGCUGAACUUAAGCAUAUCAGUAAGCGGAGGAAAAGAAACUAACAAGGAUUCCCUUAGUAACGGCGAGUGAAGCGGGAACAGCUCAAGUUUUGAAAUCUGGCGGUCUAUGGCCGUCCGAGUUGUGAAAUCAAGGAGGCGUCUUCCGCGCCGGACCGCGUACAAGUCCCUUGGAACGGGGCAUCAGAGAGGGUGAGAAUCCCGUCCUCGACGCGGACUGCCGGGGCUUUUGCGAUGACGUCCUCUGUAGAGUCGGGUUGUUUGGGAAUGCAGCCCUAAGAGGGUGGUAAACUCCAUCCAAAGCUAAAUAUUGGCGAGAGACCGAUAGCGAACAAGUACCGUGAGGGAAAGUUGAAAAGAACUUUGAAAAGAGAGUUAAACAGUACGUGAAAUUGCUGGGAGGGAAGGGUUCGGAGUCAGUCUUGUGUGUCCGCAAUCAGCCCUUUUUCUUUAAGGGGCGUACUUGUGGCAUUAACGGGCCAGCAUCGGUUUCGGGCUACGCAUUAACGGUGAGGGGAACGUGGCACCCUUUGCGGUGUGUUAUAGCCCCUCAUGCGGACGCUACUGCCUGGGACCGAGGACCGCGGCGUGACCUUUUGUUAGGUUCGGGGGCUUGCCCCACGUUAACGCGCUUAGGAUGCUGGCGUAAUGACUCUGAACCGCUCGUCUUGAAACACGACCGGAGGAGUCCAACAUGCCCGCGAGUGUUUGGGUGGUUAAACCCAUGCGCGUAAUGAAAGUGAUUAAUGCCGGGAACCCUUUUGCGGGGGUGCACCGGCGCCCGGACCGGGGUUCUCAUUAGACGCCGGACCUGAGGUAGAGCGUGUUUGUUGGGACCCGAAAGAUGGUGAACUAUGCCUGAACAGGGUGAAGCCGGAGGAAACUCUGGUGGAGGCCCGUAGCGGUUCUGACGUGCAAAUCGAUCGUAUUAUUUGGGUAUAGGGGCGAAAGACUAAUCGAACCAUCUAGUAGCUGGUUCCUGC
rnacentral:misc_RNA from 1 species